UGCUUGAAGUUUAUUUUUUGAGGGGCAAUGAGAUACCUCAGUAGGUAAAGGCACUUGCAUGUGCAAGCCUGUUGACCUGAGUUUGAUCCCUGGAAACCAUAUAAAGGCAAAAGGAGAGAACUCCAUAGUGCUGUCCAUUGACAUCAAUACUACAUGUAACAUGGCACAUACAUUCACGUAUACACAUCAUGCACACACAUACUCAACAGCGUAUUUAAUCUGUUUUGUUCACACUAUCCCCAGCCUAAGCACAUUCUCAUCACUACAUGCUUGGCUUCUUGGUCUGUUCCAUUAACUUCCUAAAUGAGCCCCUAACUCCAGUUUCUCUUCUCUUCAAUUUAUUUAUCCACAGUUGCACAUUCCGUCUAAAAUUUCUGGCUGAUUUGUGCUUUAGUGUACAAAGGUUUUCUGUUUCCCUUGUUCCUCUAAGGAUCAAGUACAAACUCCCUACUUACUGGCAUCAAAGCCCUGAUGCCCAGUCCUAAUUAACUGGUGGAACCAUUUCCCACCAUUUCUUCUGUACUUCAGACAUCUUGAAUGUAGUAAUUCCAUGUUGUAGGGCCCGCCUGCUCUAUGCAUUGUGGGUAGCUUAGCAGCAUUCCUAUCCUCCUUCCAGGUAGCCCAACAUGUACCCAGGCAUGGUCAGGUGUCCCCAGCUGAGAACUACUGCCAUUCAUGUACCAUAUGCACCAACCCAAUUGAAUGGCUUGCUCAGCCUUCCUCUUUGCACCUACCCUCGUCUCCCUGGUUCCUAACUGAUUAUUCUAUAAUUGUAACUAUCAACUCCCACCAAUAUGUCAAAGACUAGUUGAAAGGAACCUUCCAGUGACUCACCUCUUCCUGUCACUAGUUGUGACCUUCUCCUGUACAAAUGGGAGAGCAGCAUCCAGAGUGUUGGUGCUGGAAUCCCAUGGUGGGUAUCAUCGGUAGGUGGGAAGAAGAGGUAGGGUGAGUCCUGUCUGCAGUGUUCUUUUUCUCAGGGAUGGUGAUUGAAAGUGGGGCCUCAUGCAUGCAGCUCACAUACUGAAUCAUUAAGUCACACAUCCAGCCCCACACUGAUUUUCUAAGUUCUGCAUUAAGCAUGUCAUUUUUGUGACUGAAAGCAAAAUGCCACUGGAAAAGAUAUUUAGCAGUUAGUUAAAGGUUUUGCGGGAUGCAAGGUAGGAUUUUGUUGAGCUUGUCUUUGUAGGAAAUGAGACACUGUUAGGAGGCAGAGGAGAAGAGGUAGUGGGGAAGACAGACAGUGAUCAAAGUCACAAUUUAGUGACAGGCAGCCAAGCUGAGUAAUUCAAACAUUUUUUUUUAUAUGCAAAGAAGUGUCAAUGGUGAAUACAGACAGUGAAUAAGAUGCCUCCUAGCCAGAUGUCUCAUGCCCUUUCAACUGCAGACCAAGUUUUUAGUAACUUCCUGGAAAGAAGGAUUUGUUCAUUGAGGCAGAUCUCAUGAGCCCUUUGGAUCGAAUUGCUAAUGUCUCCAUCCUAAAGCAACAUGAAGUAGACAAGCUGUACAAGGUGGAGAACAAGCCGGCCCUCAGCUCCAAUGAACAGUGAGUGUCUGGGAGUCUCUGUGGCCUCCAUGCUGGAGGAGGUCCCUAGGUGUAUAUUUGCCCUGCUUUGUCCAUGCCUGAGAUCUACAACCACAGUGCCUGUUAUGUGGCCCAGUUCCCUGAAUGUUGACAAUAUCAUGGGCAGAUUGUUAGUCUUCCUUACUGCAGUUUCUCCCACUCUGUCCUCUUCCCUCCUUCCUCCAUGCUAUUAUCUAUAGCUAGAAUUAUUUCUUUGUUAUCCUGCUGUCUAACACCUGCAGAGGCAGCUGGAGGAUGGCUCAGCUUCAGGAAGUGGGUAAAGCACUUGCUGGGAAAGUCCAGUAAUCUGAGUUCAGUCUCUGGAGCCCAUGGAAGGGUAGAAGGAGAUAAUCCACUUCACAGAAUUAUCCUCUGACUUCUGCACGUGGACCUGCAUUCACACAUACACAACAGCAAUGAAUAGAUAAUAAAUAGAGUCUCCAGGAUCGAUGAGAUGGCUUAGUAGGUAAAGAUAUUUGCCGCCAUGCCUACCACACAACAUGAGUUUCACCCACAUAGGGGAAGAAGAGAACCUUCUCCCACAGGUUGUCCUCUGACCUCCACAACACAAGCUGUAGUACAUGUACACACAGACAGACACACAGACACACACACACAAAUAAAUAAGUAAAUGUUAAAAGGAAAACACUUCCAAGACUUCACAUUAAUUACUGGAUACUGUAGUCCAGUUGAGCAUCCUAAGUUUCAAGGCCUUGAUGCUAUCCAUAUAGUCUUGUUCCUCAUAUGUCCUUUCAAGCCUCUGUUGACAUUGCUUCCACACAUAUUACAU